GACGUGAGGGCGCGAGCGUUGUCCGGAUUUAUUGGGCGUAAAGAGCUCGUAGGCGGCUUGUCGCGUCGAAUGUGAAAUCUCAGGGCUCAACUCUGACAUUGCAUUCGAUACGGGCAGGCUAGAGUUCGGUAGGGGAGACUGGAAUUCCUGGUGUAGCGGUGAAAUGCGCAGAUAUCAGGAGGAACACCGGUGGCGAAGGCGGGUCUCUGGGCCGAUACUGACGCUGAGGAGCGAAAGCGUGGGGAGCGAACAGGA
rnacentral:rRNA from 1 species